GAUGAACGCUAGCUACAGGCUUAACACAUGCAAGUCGAGGGACCGGCGCACGGGUGAGUAAUAAGUAUCCAACCUGCCCUUUACUCGGGGAUAGCCUUUCGAAAGAAUGAUUAAUACUCGAUAUAAAGGAUGGGGAUGCGUUCCUUUAGGUUGUUGUUGAGGUAACGGCCCACCAAGCCUUCGAUGGAUAGGGGUUCUGAGAGGAGGGUCCGCCACAAUGGAACUGAGACACGGUCCAUACGCCUACGGGAGGCAGCAGUGAGGAAUAUUGGGCAAUGGGCGCUAGCCUGAACCAGCCAAGAAGCGUGUCUGAAGAAGGCUUCGGGUUGUAAAGGUCUUUUGUCAGGGAAGCGGUACCUAAAGACUAAGCACCGGCUAACUACGUGCCAGCAGCCGCGGUAAUAC
rnacentral:rRNA from 1 species